rnacentral:rRNA from 1 species
UACAGAGGGUGCAAGCGUUGCUCGGAAUCAUUGGGCGUAAAGGGUAGGUAGGUGGUCUCGUUUGUCUGGGGUGAAAGCCCAGGGCUUAACCCUGGAAGUGCCCCAGAAACGGCGAGACUAGAGUAUUGGAGAGGGUCGUGGAAUUCCCGGUGUAGCGGUGAAAUGCGUAGAUAUCGUGAGGAACACCAGAGGCGAAGGCGGCUACCUGGACAAUUGCUGACGCUCAGGCACGAAAGCGUGGGGAGCAAAAGGG